rnacentral:misc_RNA from 1 species
UUUACAUAAUGGUAAGUCUAUUACUAAAAUUAUUCCUAUUACUGUUUUUUCAUUUGCUGGACCUAGGGUUGGAAAUCUUAAAUUUAAAGAAAGAUGUGAAGAGCUUGGAAUUAAAGUUUUAAGAGUUGUGAAUGUGCAUGACAAAGUGCCGAAAGUGCCUGGAAUUAUUGCAAAUGAGAAAUUUCAAUUCCAAAAGCAAUUGGAAGAGAAAUUUUCAUUUGCUUGGAGUUAUGCUCAUGUAGGGGCGGAGUUAGCUUUAGAUCAUCAUCGUUCUCCUUUUCUAAAGCCCAAUAGUGAUUUGGGCUCUGCUCAUAACCUUGAGGCCCAUUUACAUCUUGUUGAUGGGUACCAUGGGAAGGUACGCGCCUUUCGCUCUGCCACGAGUAGGGAUGUUGCCCUAGUCAAUAAGGAUUCGAGUUUCUUGAAGGAGGAGUAUGGUGUGCCACCAUUUUGGUGGCAAGAUGAGAACAAAGGCAUGGUGAGAACGAGCGAUGGGCAAUGGGUGUUGCCGGAGAGGCCCAUAAUUGAGGCCCAUCCACCCGAUACGGCCCAUCAUUUUCAACAAGUCCUUAAACUUGCGAGAGCUAGGUUAAAUUUACCAUAAUUAUUAUUAAUAAGUUGUGUUUUUACCUUUCAAUAAAGUCAUAAGUAGACUUGCUAGCUAUGAAGAGAGGUUGUGUGUUUUGUUCUUCUUUUUCAUUUAUUGAAAAUUGGGGGACGGAAAAUAGGAAGGAGAUUAUUAUAUGGAAAAUCAAACUCUUACCAAUACGGUAAGAGUUCAGAUAGUCAAUCAAUUAUGAGCUACUAAAAUUCCACGGCAUAUGGAUUUGUGUAUGUCAAUUGGUGCUUUGAAGACUAUUGUGAUGCUCAAUUAUUAAUAAAGUGACUAAGAA